rnacentral:lncRNA from 1 species
AUUAUUUCAAUAUUUUGACUUAUCUAGUGCUGUAAGAGCAAGGGUAGACUGAUUGCUUUUUUCCUUUGGCUUUUUUUCUUUUUCCUAAUAGUUUGUCUCUAACACUUGUGAGCCGCGUUCUGCAGAGCAGCUGGGUGCUGCACAGCCGUGCGGCAGUGGGAGCUGUGGGCUGCCCUGCCUGGCGCCUGGCCAUCGCCUGCCCCGUGCUGCUGCCUGCCCGGGGCCGGGGCAGCCCGGGGCCUGGGCAGCCCGGGGCCUGGGCAGCCCGGGGCCAUUAGCUCAGAUGCCUUUGAGCAGGAAUGGCAGCUGCCAGGGGCACCACGCUGUGAGGGCGGCUGCUCUUGGAAGCUGGCACUUAUAGCCUCACACAUAAGGAGUCAACUUGCAUUUCUGUGUCCCUAAGUUUUUAUUACGGUAUCAUCUGCUCCAGAUUUGACAAGGUGGCAAAAUGCUGCAAUGGAAGAGAAUCUCAAGAUAAAAUAUUUAGGCAGAGCAGAGAUCAGUGGCUUCCUCUCUAGCACCAGCUAUGUUGAGACCGCGCCAGGUAGUGGAGAAAAGGUGUCUUGUAUCACAGCCCUCCGAUGCUCACAGGACUAUCAGGAGGGAGUUCUGAUUUGUUCGAGGAGGCUGGUGCUGCUGACCCUUAACAAUAUCAGUUGAGUUGCCUGAUCUUGCUGAUUAAGUAACUCCAGUGGUCAUCUCCAAAGGGUGGUAUUAUCUCUUGUGCCAGAAAGGACUUCAGCUACUGAAAAGUUUGUACAGGGAAGUUUUGUUUUCUUGUCACACGCAAAAAAGUGAACUGUUCUCACUUAGAAGAAAGCAAUAAUGACAAACAGAUGCUCAGCAACAGCCCAAUAAAUUAUCCAUUUUAUAAUUUCCA